rnacentral:lncRNA from 1 species
GCCAUUCUCUGGUAUGUUAAAGAGGAGGUGCAGAGGGGAGUGAAAUAUCUUCUAUUCAAAACAGAUGUUUGUUUAAUAUCAAACAUCUGGGUAGUCUUAGAAAAACUGUUGUGCUAAGAUUUCUGCAACUGUUGGUAAUUCAGAAAACUGACAACAGUGCUUCCCUGUUUAAAAUUAGGCUAUAAAUAUCAGCUCCGUGCCCCAAACUGAAGGCUUUAUUUUUUUAUUUUUUUUUAACUCCUAUCAAGCAAAUUUCAUUUCUCUAAAGUGUGAUACCACGUUGUCCAGCAGAUCACAUACAUUAUCAGAUAACACUAAUCUGUGAAUUCCACAUUAUGACAUCUCUGUGCCUUGCAGCCCUGGUGGUGAAUUACAGACCAUAUAUGAUUUACUGCAAAAACUCAACAGUUAUUUUAUCUCUUACCAGCAUUACUUAAUGUAGAAGGGCUGGGUACAAAGGAACGUCACAGGAGUCCACACCUGCCAAUACAGGAGGGUUCGUAUUAAUGUAUGUCACGAGUUUUACAGAUUUGAUGUGAAAAUCCAUUUGAAAUGAAUGCUGCCAAAGUUUGAAGUAGACUCCAGCUGGAUGUCCAAAACACUCUUAAUGAGGUACUUCACAGACAACUUUCAGACAAUGCAAAUUACAUUCAGGAGCCAACUGAAGUAAGCCAAAUAAACUGGAUGUAUG